CCUACGGGAGGCAGCAGUGGGGGAUAUUGGACAAUGGGGGGAACCCUGAUCCAGCGACGCCGCGUGAGUGAAGAAGUAUUUCGGUAUGUAAAGCUCUGUCAGCAGGGAAGAAAGAAAUGACGGUACCUGACCAAGAAGCCCCGGCUAACUACGUGCCAGCAGCCGCGGUAAUACGUAGGGGGCAAGCGUUAUCCGGAAUUACUGGGUGUAAAGGGAGCGUAGACGGUUAAGUAAGUCUGGAGUGAAAGGCCGGGGCCCAACCCCGGGACUGCUCUGGAAACGAUUCAACUUGAGUGCAGGAGAGGUAAGCGGAAUUCCUAGUGUAGCGGUGAAAUGCGUAGAGAUUAGGAGGAACACCAGUGGCGAAGGCGGCUUACUGGACUGUAACUGACGUUGAGGCUCGAAAGCGUGGGGAGCAAACAGGAUUAGAUACCCGAGUAGUC
rnacentral:rRNA from 1 species